rnacentral:rRNA from 1 species
UACGUAGGUGGCAAGCGUUGUCCGGAUUUACUGGGCGUAAAGCGAACGCAGGCGGACUGUUAAGUAGGAAGUGAAAGGUUGGAGCUCAACUCUAACACUGCUCCCUAUACUGGCAGUCUUGAGUGGCGGAGAGGGAGAUGGAACGACACGUGUAGCGGUGAAAUGCGUUGAUAUGUGUCGGAACACCAAUGGCGAAAGCAAUCUCCUGGACGCAAACUGACGCUGAGGUUCGAAAGCCAAAGGUGAGCAA